GAUGAACGCUGGCGGCGCGCCUAACACAUGCAAGUCGAACGAUUAAAGCACCUUCGGGUGUGUAUAAAGUGGCGAACGGCUGAGUAACGCGUGGGCAACCUGCCCCUUUCAUUGGGAUAGCCACGGGAAACCGUGGAUAAUACCGAAUACUUCGAGACUUCCGCAUGGAAGACUCGAGAAAGCUCCGGCGGAGAGGGAUGGGCCCGCGGCCUGUUAGCUUGUUGGUGGGGUAACGGCCUACCAAGGCAAUGAUGGGUAGCUGGGUUGAGAGACCGACCAGCCAGAUUGGGACUGAGACACGGCCCAGACUCCUACGGGAGGCAGCAGUGGGGAAUCUUGCACAAUGGGCGAAAGCCUGAUGCAGCGACGCCGCGUGCGGGAUGAAGGCCUUCGGGUUGUAAACCGCUUUCAGCAGGGACGAGGCGAAAGUGACGGUACCUGCAGAAGAAGCCCCGGCUAACUACGUG
rnacentral:rRNA from 1 species